rnacentral:rRNA from 1 species
UACGUAGGGUGCAGGCGUUAAUCGGAAUUACUGGGCGUAAAGCGUGCGCAGGCGGUUUCUUAAGUCAGAUGUGAAAGCCCCGGGCUUAACCUGGGAACUGCGUUUGAAACUGGGAGACUUGAGUGUGGCAGAGGGGGGUGGAAUUCCACGUGUAGCAGUGAAAUGCGUAGAUAUGUGGAGGAACAUCCGUGGCGAAGGCGGCCACCUGGACCAGCACUGACACUGAGGCACGAAAGCGUGGGGAGCAAACAGG